rnacentral:rRNA from 1 species
UACGGAGGAUCCGAGCGUUAUCCGGAUUUAUUGGGCUUAAAGGGUGCGUAGGCGGUUUGAUAAGUUAGAGGUGAAAUGUCGGGGCUCAACCCCGAAACUGCCUCUAAUACUGUUGGACUAGAGAAUAGUUGCGGUAGGCGGAAUGUAUGGUGUAGCGGUGAAAUGCUUAGAGAUCAUACAGAACACCGAUUGCGAAGGCAGCUUACCAAACUAUAUCUGACGUUGAGGCACGAAAGCGUGGGUAGCAAACAGG